CUUCCCAACAUGUACACCCCGGCUCAUCCGAGCUCUCUUUGCACCUGCAGCCUCCCCCCAUCGGGUCCUCCUCGAUCUUCUCGGUGGUGGGCGCACGGCGGCCUUUCAGCACCUGGACAGAGAAGCUGCACCUGAAGCCAAGCCAUUCGAGGUCUCAGGCAGAGGCACGGAGCUGCGGUGAUGCUACGGUAUCAUAAAUAGUAUCAGAAGGGCACGGUGUGGUUGUCGGAGGCACAGCAACCUCAAUGACAGCGAUUCAGAAACAUAACGAAGGGCGGGCUGGGGGUCCCGAUCCGGGUUGGGUCAGAGUAUUUUAGCGUGCUUCUGUGGAAUUCUUUGGACCACACUUUUGGGCCCUGAUUGGAGUUGCAAAAGAUGGAGAAAGGCGCAGCGCACAUUGCGCAGCUUUCCGAAAGGGCAGACGGUCACGCGGACGACAUCGCCAAGGUACCCGACGAGGAGCUGCUCCUGUGGGGCAAAGACGAGCUGGUGAGGCGCUUGCGGAGGACCGAGGCGGAGAAGAGAGGCGUCAUCGUGGAGCACGCGAACCUGAUGCGAGAAGUCAACAGAAGGCUCCAACAACACCUUCAUGAGAUCCGGAGUUUGAAGGAUGUCAACCAGAAAUUGCAAGAAGAUAACCAGGAGCUCCGGGACUUGUGCUGCUUCCUGGAUGACGACCGUCAGAAAGGGAAACGGGUGACACGAGAGUGGCAGCGCCUGGGCCGCUACAGCAGUGGUCUGAUGAGAAAGGAGGUGGCCAUCUACUUGCAAAAGCUGAAAGAGUUGGAGCAGCGGCAGAGUGAUGUCAUACAAGAUAAUAUGGAGCUGAAGGAGGUGUGCCUCAUGCUGGAGGACGAGAGGGCUGCAUCUGUUGCAUUAGGGAGUAGUGGAGGUGGGCGAGAGGGGCCUGGCCGCAGGACUUCCAUUGACAGUCACAGCAGUCUGUCACAACUGGGUGCUGGGUUACCUGCACCUGGCCUGCUGCGUGAUGUUGGUGAUGGGAGCAGCACCUCCAGUGCAGGAAGCACAGACAGCCCUGAUACUGCCCAGCAGAAACCCUUACCUGUGGGUUCCAGUGCUAGUCCUGGAUCAAGAUGUGCCUCCCUGGAACCCCCCUACAGACUGGAAGACAUGUGCGAUUCCUCAGGCAGGAGGCACAGCUCCACUCCAGAAUACCACACCUUCCCCCAGCCAUGCCGCUCACGAGGAGGGUCCCUUACCAACAUGGACCCUCAAGGCUUCGGAGGAGGCAGCCCUGAAAAACAUAAAUCUCCCAACAGGCAACCACGCGACCCGCACUGUAAGGCCUUCAGCUCUGACCUACUUGCCCAGAAACAGUUGUUAAUUUUAGGGCAAGUAUCACCAGGUUGUGGGAAGGGCAUGGCCAAGUCCAGUCCAGAGUUGAGUCAAAGACACCGUCCAGAUAACGCCAUCGGGGCAAGCUGUGGGAGCCCUGAGGCAAAGAAAACAGUACCAGGAACACCUGAGCAUCUACGAAAAGAGCGAGUGAUAGUGGGGAGUCCAGAGUCCAUACGACACCACCAUCACUAUCAGAUCAGUCCUGGGAUGGAAUACAGCAAGGGAGGGAAUAGCAGAGGCUCCCUGAAACGGGAUGGGAUUCACAGGAGGGCGGCUGGAGAACAACUCUCCCCCCACCACCAGAGUCUGUACAACGAUGCAAGGCUGCUCAUUGCUUUGCCCCCAGGUCAGCACAUCAUCUUAAAUAUUAAGUUCUGAUAUCUGCUGGCUGCUGCACCAACUCCUGCGGGAGUGUGAAGCUUUGGGACAGCUUUGAUGGCUCCUGACCACGCAUGCCUCUGGAUCAGACGCUGCACACAAUCCAGAGAGAGAGAGAGAGAGAGAGAGAGAGAGAGAGAGAGAAAGAGAGAUAGAGCAAAUGUUUUUUGCACAUGUAUGGAUGGAAGGACACGUGGAUCAAUGCACAAGUGAACGGUUAAAUGAUCAUGAAGUUCUGAUUCAAUCAAUGGAGGCUUCUGCUGUGCACUUCUGUAAACCACCACAAAAGACUGAAAUCACUUUUCUUUUGGGGGGGGUUAUUGUGAGACACCCACGUCUGAAUUGCCAAACUGAAGAGCCUGCAUCUUUGUAAAAACAGAGAGCUAUAUAUUGAACUGCUGCUUUACCACACAGUAGGAUAUCCAACCCAUGAUAAGAAGAAUUGCUUUCAGCGUCAAUACUGCUGAUACAGCUGGCAUUAAAGCACAAAGAGUUACAAAAUCGUUAAAAUGCCAUAGUUAGGGUAACGGUUCCCAUAGCUGACUUGAUUUCCAGUCAAUGCCCCAAUCGCAAUCGUCUUGUGCUUGACAGAUGAUCGGUUGAGGGAGGUUCCAGCCAGCCUAGCAACACUAGAUGAAUAGAAAUCAGUAUAAAAGUAUCAUUUCAUACAUUUUGCACUUGGGCUUAGCAGCUGUAAUACAUAUUAACCUAAAAUAUGUAUCUUUUGAAGUAUUUUUCACCCGAGUGAAGAUAAACGGAACUGAUAAUGGAUGGAUGGAUUGAUGUAUUUAAUAUCAAGCGUAUGAAAGGUGGUCAUUUGCUGAAUUCUUAUAUUUGAUGUAAAACCAGAAAUUCUGUUAUAGUUCAGUGUCAGGAAAUGUAUCCAAAAACCAUUGUGUAUAAAUAUUUCCCCCCCAAAUCCAACUAAAUUACGAUAUAGAUGACAGUAAAAAUGUAUUUAAAAAAAAAAAAAGAAGUGAUGGAAUUGGCACCAGAUUGAAAAGAGAAGGCACAUCAAAUAUAAUUUGCUAAAUAUGGUUUCUGUAAUUAGACAUAUUUAUAAUAUCCUUUAGAUGUCAAUAUUUUCAAACCAAUUUGGUUUAAGUUAGUAAUUGUGACCAAAUGCAGUUUGUCAAGGAAGGUCACAGGAAGGACAUGUAGCCCAGUCUCCAUUUUAAUAGUCUAUUGUGCUAUCAAAGGGUUUACUGCUGCUGACAUUUUUUAAUAUACGGAAGAUAAUGACUAAAAAUUGUUGGUGAUGAAGGAUUUUUUUCAUUUUUAAAUUGGUGUUUGGGAUAUUGUAACCAUGAUUAGUCAGAUGUGACUCAGCAGAUGGAGUUGCUCAUAUCAUUGUAUGCACUUUCUGAAGAAAACAAGCUAACACAACAACAAAAUGUGCAAUAUUUGGACCCGGUGAUGUGACACUAGAGCCAUAUUUACAAAUGUAUGUGGCAAACAAAGUUGCAUGGCAUCCUGACAUCAAAAACUGGAGAAAAAAAAUGUAUAUACUGUAUAUCAGCAUUCUAUUUACACACAUAAUAAUUGGCCAUUAAUAAACGUUGCGUUUCCAGCAGUUUAGCGUAUUUACCAUCACAGUUUUCAUAAAUACUACUUAUUUCUCUAAUUAGAAGAAGAACGGCAGCAACGUGAGCCCGUGGGCUCUCACGUGCCCCCCUUUCGUUUUGGCGUUUCGUUUUGAGCACUGGCUGCGUCACCUCACGCUAUUUUUUUAUUUGCAGUUUUGUGCAAUCAGCAGGACUAAAUAUGUGCAAACAAAUAUUAUAUACAUUAGCCAGACUACAGAAAAAUUGGAAACAGUCCUGGCUGUAUGCCACCUCUCAUCCGGAGAACAACUGGGAUAGUGCUCCUCUCACUCGCGACCCUAAUGAGGUAGAAAAUGGAUCGAUUAUUCCAGCACCAUAGUUUUGUUGUCCCAAAUUGAGCACGAAAUGAUCACUCCACCAAAUCGUGACAGCUACUGGCCAUGCAGUUGUAGCGAUUAUGUAUGAAAUAAGAAUUGUAAUUAUUUUACGAUAAAGUAAUAAGCCAGGAGCGAUGUUUGCGUUACUUCCGGUUUAUCGUAAUUUUGAUUUAAUUGUUAAAAAUCAAACUAAUGUCUCGAAAAGGGCAUCACGUCAAAUUUUUCAAGUUUAAUUUUAGGCGAAAUGACGACAAACCUUUUUAAUCAAUUUCAGAAUCUGUAGUCUACGACAUUUUGAGUCCUAGGUUACAAAGGUUUACUUAAAUUCAGAACACACAAAAUAUGACCAUGAGUGGAAUUUGAUGGUAUAUUUAAUGAAACACACAACUACAACAAGAACAUAACUCUAAGGGUAAACGAAAGAAAGAAAAGAGGUCAUCGUGUGUGGUCGCUGGGCUAAACGAAAUGAGCGUAUGAGCGUUUAAUGCGUUGAGUCAGAGCGAGAGAAGGCAAAGUUUGGAUUUCGUAUGAAUCAAUUAUUACACACUGAUGUUGUACAUCAUAGUAAGGAUUGCAGUGUCGACUCACGGACGCAGAUCAGCUGGUCUUUGGGUUGGUCUUCCUCCGGACCUCAAGUGGAAAUGAAGAAGGUUCAGUUGAAGAAAAACUAGAUGCACAAAAAUAAAAAUAAAUAGGAAAGGAAAGUUGUUGUCCCGUUUGGGAUGCGCUCAUAACUUCCCUGCCGGUUGACCUGGCGGUGGGCCGAGUUCUGGCCCUCAGAGGGGUGCGGGAUCCGUCCGGGAUGCCGGCAGCUGCUUGUUGAGGCCCCGCCGACUGAUCGUGGCUAGGGAAAACGAUCGGAGGCGCAUGGUUGCCUUCUUCGAUCAAAAAACGGCAUUCGUUCGGGCACGUGGUGGCACCCGGAGGUGCCCGAGCGCAUGGGUGAAUAUUAACCACAUAGUCUGCUUAAAGGGAGUGUCCCUCCAAUCUUUUGUUCGGGGAAGGAGUCUUUUGAAGACAGGAAUCAAGAUUUGACGGAAAGCUGCUAAUUAGGUUAAGGUUCACUUGAUGUACACCAGGCCCUGUCCUAGUUGCCGUCUCACAGCAGGGCAGCGUGGAGGAGUGGGGCUUCUCCAGUGGUCGCGAGUCUCUGUGGCGCCUCAAAGUUGUGGCGCUCAUGUCCGCUACACAGUAUUUUAAAAUGCUUUAUAUUUUGGUUAAAGCGCCACAACCUUCGUUGUAAAAUGUAUAUAAAUUUUAACUUUAUAGGGGGUUAUAACUAAUUAAUACUGAGUACAUUGGUUCUGAAAGACAAUUGUUUGCAAUCAAGUAUUCUUUGUAAUUUAGGGAUUACAUGUCUGUAUUAUAGUCAAAUAUGAAAUGCUAUAAUAUAAAAGCAAUACAAAAGAAAUUCAUCUUCAUUUUGCACAUGUAUUAUAAAUGUUUAGGAACACCUCUCAGAUUACAAAAAUACACACACACAACCAAACAUAGUGUUGUGUGUGAUGUAUUGUUGAAGGAGAAUAUUAAAGGUAAUGGUACUUUGUAUUAGUCACAUGUACAAUGCACAGUGAAAUAUGUUUUCUGUGUUUACAGUAAGCUGUCCCUGAGUAAUGCCCAAGGACUUAAUCCAUAUGUUGUGUCACUACUUUGGUCAAGUAACUAACUAGAAAUUAACCUUAUAUGAUUGAAGUUGUGGGGGAAACCAGAACACCCAGAGAAAACCCACACAGGUAUGAGAAGAAUAAAUACAUUUCACACAGAAAAGCCCUUAAGUGCUUAAGAGCAGUCUGGAAUCGAACGCUGUUUCUGUGAAGCAGCAGUGCCAAACACCCAUAGGAAGCUGCAUUGAUCCAAAUCUGAAAAUUAACUCUGGAAAAAGAAAAAAAUCUUUUCGCUGUCUCGUGACGUUGGUGAAAGUCAACACGUCUGGAAAUAAGCAAGAAGCAAAUGCAGUAUGAUUAUGCCCUUCCUGUAUAACCUCUUAACCUUGUGUCUCAUUUUCUUUGGUGAUUGAAUUGAAGAUAAAUAUGGUAUACUAUCAAUAGUAUUAGUGUAAUAAAUCAUCAGUAGGACUGUAAAUCUGUAAUUUUAUAAAUAUAUACCAUAAAUUAUUAUUUUUGACUUCCUCUUAUAUGAUAUUGCUAUAACUCUUAUAUCCAAAGUUGUAUGUAGAAACCAAUAAAGUGACUUUAGAUUUAAAAAAAAUUAUCUUUUGCUGUUUGUGUUGUGUGUUGUUUGUGAUUUUUUUGAUACUUUUACUGUAUUCUUUAGAGAGCAAUCUAUGCAGCUCAUAUAUUUAUUCCGAAAUUGAAGGAACAAAUGAGAAUUACUUUUGUUACUGUAAUAGAAAUGUUAAGCCAAUCAUAGAAAUGCAAAGGUAAAAGAACAGUUUUUUUGCCACAGGAACACCAGUAACAAGAUGAUGUCUCGAUGAGAUUCAUGUCUGCCUGCAGCUGCUGUGUGGGCGGAAUAUGUUGCAUUUCUAUCCACAGCUUUAUGACCAGAGGAUGUUUUCUCCAUCAUUACCAUUAAAGAACUACAAAGGUAGGCUACUCAAUGGAGCGCAAACCUCUGCCAAGGUGAAAACAUUGUGAUCUCUACCUCAACACAAAAAAACUCCUGGAAAAGAACAGCUU